rnacentral:rRNA from 1 species
GACGAACGCUGGCGGCGCGCUUAACACAUGCAAGUCGAGCGAAGCGGCGGACGGGUGAGUAACACGUGAGUAACCUGCCUUAGACAUUGGAAUAGCCUCGGGAAACCGGGAGUAAUACCAAAUGGUCUAAGCUGGACUCGCGUCCUAUCAGCUUGUUGGUGGGGUAGUGGCCUACAAAGGCGACGACGGGUAGCCGGCCUGAGAGUGGGACCGGCCACAGUGGGACUGGGAUACGGCCCAAACUCUACGGGAGGCAGGAGUGGGGGAUAUUGCACGAUGGGGGAAACCCUGAUGCAGGAACGCCGCGUGCGGGAUGACGGCUUUCGGGUUGUAAACCGCUUUCAGCCAUGACGCGGUAGUGGCAGAAGAAGCACCGGCUAACUACGUGCCAGCAGCCGCGGUAAUUC